rnacentral:lncRNA from 1 species
UUCAACCACUGUAACUGGUAGGGAUUUAGAUGUUUGAUGCAUGUCAACCCUACUUUUUUCAUGAAUAGAGUGCUUACCAGAUUAACAUAAUUACCAUUGUCAAUGAUCAUUCCACAUACCUUAUGAUUGACAAGACAUUGUGUGUGGAAAAGGUUCUCCCUCUGCUUGUUGUCUUCACUCCUAAUUUGCAUGUUGAGAGCUCUUCGGACAACAAGGACAUUACUCUCAAGUG